rnacentral:rRNA from 1 species
CAAAUUUACUGGCUUAGAUUUGACGCUGGCGGCAGGCCUAACACAUGCAAGUCGAACGGUAACAGGAAGCAGCUUGCUGCUUCGCUGACGAGUGGCGGACGGGUGAGUAAUGUCUGGGAAACUGCCUGAUGGAGGGGGAUAACUACUGGAAACGGUGGCUAAUACCGCAUAACGUCGCAAGACCAAAGAGGGGGACCUUCGGGCCUCUUGCCAUCAGAUGUGCCCAGAUGGGAUUAGCUUGUUGGUGAGGUAACGGCUCACCAAGGCGACGAUCCCUAGCUGGUCUGAGAGGAUGACCAGCCACACUGGAACUGAGACACGGUCCAGACUCCUACGGGAGGCAGCAGUGGGGAAUAUUGCACAAUGGGCGCAAGCCUGAUGCAGCCAUGCCGCGUGUAUGAAGAAGGCCUUCGGGUUGUAAAGUACUUUCAGCGGGGAGGAAGGUGUUGUGGUUAAUAACCGCAGCAAUUGACGUUACCCGCAGAAGAAGCACCGGCUAACUCCGUGCCAGCCGCCGCGGUAAUUA